AUUGAACGCUGGCGGCAGGCCUAACACAUGCAAGUCGAGCGAACCUAGCUUGCUAGGUGAGCGGCGAACGGGUGAGUAACGCGUAGGAAUCUGCCUGGUAGUGGGGGACAACGUUCCGAAAGGAACGCUAAUACCGCAUACGCCCUACGGGGGAAAGCAGGGGAUCUUCGGAACUUGCGCUAGCAGAUGAGCCUGCGUCGGAUUAGCCGGUUGGUAGGGUAAAGGCCUACCAAGGCGACGAUCCGUAACUGGUCUGAGAGGAUGAUCAGUCACACCGGGACUGAGACACGGUCCGGACUCCUACGGGAGGCAGCAGGAGGGAAUAUUGGACAAUGGGGGCAGCCCUGUUACAGCCAUGCCGCGGGUGUGAAGAAGGCCUUCGGGUUGUAAAGCACUGUAGGUCGGGAGGAAGGUUCGCUGGCUAAUAUCCAGCGGAAUUGACGUUACCGACAGAAUAAGCACCGGCUAACUCCGUGCCAGCCGCCGCCGUAA
rnacentral:rRNA from 1 species